UACAUAUAUAAAAUUAAUUUUUAAUAUAUAUUAGAUAUUUUUUUAUUUGUGAAUUAAUGAAAACAAUAAUUUAAAAUUUAAAAUUUAAAAUUUAAAAUAGAAUCACAUUAAUGAGGAGGUCUAAUAAAUUUAAAAUGGAAAACUAAUAGAUUGACAAGUGGCAACACAUUAAUUAAAAUGUCUAAUAUGGUGACACAUGGCAAAAUAGCUACUCUUUUAUUAGUAUAAAUUUGAAUUGUUUUCUAAAAAUUUUAUGUUUUCUACUAACAACACAUUAAUUAUGAUGUAAUUGAGAUAAUAAAUAUUAUUUUUCACAUUUAAUUGUUGUAUAGCAUUUAUGACAUUUAAGGGUUUUAAUACCAAUUAAGCUUUCUACUCAUGAGCUUCGAUUAUUUUUAACAUGGAGUAACUAAAGAGCCAAAUAUUUUUUGAUUUACAAAUAUUUUAUACUAAUAAAGAAUUCAAAAUAAUUAUUCCGUUAAUAUAGAUGUACCUAGUCUUAUUAAAAGUAAUAUUUCAAAUUAUAUUUAAAAAUUAAAACUCCACACUUAAUUAAUACUAGUAUAAUGUAAUAUAAUAUAAGUUGGUUAAUAAGAUUAAAUAAAUAUCAAAACAUAAAGUGUAAUCAUAUACAAACUAAAUUUCAAUAUUAAAAGAAUAUAUUUAGUUCUACUUAAUAACAUGACUUUUGUACGCAAGCUCGCAACUAUACCCCAUGAAAUUCUUGAAUAUGUUUUCUUCUUCACACCUAACGAGACUCAUGAAGAAAAGGUCAACAACAAUACACUUUUGACGGGUAAUGCUUCUAUCUUUUUCCUUUUAUUUCAGAAUUUUCAAUGAUUCAUAUUAAUGGAUUUGUUUUCAUUUUAAUAUUGGAUUGAUAUAUGUUGUAGAUAUUAUUGGAUGUGUGGUUGGUGCCGGUGAAAUUGAAUAUUAUGACCCGUUAACACAUUAUUUAAUUUGACUCAUGUAAUAUGAAUGUAUCAUUGAUAUACAAUAUGUAUCAUGAAAAUUAUGUGUUUGUUUAUUGUUAUAAUAAUACUUCUUUUUCACUUUUGAAUAGUGGUGAUAAGAAGGUCAUGAAGGUGAGGUUGUGGGGGAAGACUUCAGAAAUAUUUGAUAUUAAGUCUUACGAGGAUGUCCGCACACCACUUAUUGCAAUUAUAACAUCUACUACCGUUAAAAAAAGGUGAGUUGAAGUACGCUUCAACCACAGCUACUAGGAUAUACUUCAAUCGGAUAUACAUAAAGCCAAAACUAUAAGUUCAAGUUUUGCUGAAAGAAAUGAAGGCAUUAGAAAGUUAAAGAGUCAACAGACCGUACAAGUUCCUGUAGCUAAGCAGAUGUUCAUUAAUAGGAAGGUUAUUUCAGAAAUAGUCGAUAUGGCAUGGAUAUCUGACGAUCAAGCAUAC